AGCUGGUAUGGUGUAGUGGUUUGAGUGUUGGACUUCCACUCUGAAGACCAGUGUUUGAUACCCUGCACAGCUA